rnacentral:lncRNA from 1 species
GUGUUUCUUAAUAGUGAGUGACAUCCCAAUUUUAAUAUCUUAUAGGCUCACAUAUAAAUCACUUGUUGCUAAUUAUUCAUCAGAAAUGACUUGUUAGGAUUUGUGAUAUUUUCACUAUAUAGAAAAGUAUGUGACAUUUAUCUCGUAGCAAACAAUUGCUUUCCCUAAGAAGGCAAACGACCACUCCUUUUCUUUUGUUCUUACAAAAAUCUAUUUAUCACUCUCAUCGCACAACACAAUGCUCACACCCACAACUCAUUCCGCGGCUGCUCUGCCCACCACGGCUUCUCAUUGUUGCCUCCCUUCGAUGCCACAUCAUUUAGCACGCACCUUGCUCUCACACCUCCGUGUUCCCUCCUCUCCACGGCGUCAUCGGCCACUCCUCUCCCUUCCACGGCGUCACCGGCCGCUCCUCCAAGGAGUACACUUCAUCGUAGCCGAGGGCGACCACCACCACGACACAACAUUUUGUUCAUCGCAACACCGCACCUUCUCCGAGCACAUACCGAGCUUAUGUGUACAUCCUUUUAUGUAGUGGAUAUAAAUAUUUCAAUGGUUCUACAUGUCUCAUGUCCUUGCAGAUAUAUCCACCUCACUACUACUACCACAGCAGGUCCGUUGCUGCAAAAUGAAUUGAGAAAUAUUAACAUUGACAACCAUAAAUCGACUGGCAUUGCAUCUACGCAUGGAUGUUAUUGAGCUUUAGAAGUAACAAUAAACUGCAGAGAUAAUAGUGUACCUCUAAAUGUAAAACUGUCCAAGCAACAAGUCUUUUGUUGAUAGUACAAAUGCAAUUGAUGUUGCCGAAAUAAUUCAUCUUCUUGGUCCAUAAAAAAAUAGAAACUUAACACCAAAGCAUCUUAUCAUAAGUGAUCAAAGUUGUUAUCUUGCAAUAGUGGAAAUACUUGGAAUAUCCUUUAACCAUACAAAGUUGUCGACACUGUCAACUCUGAACCUACAACAGAUUGAUGCCUACUGCCCACCUCAUGUUUUCAUGAAAAAAAUAUACGUGACAAGAUAUGCAUACAAACGUUCCAUGUAGAGAUGCAACCUUCGUCAAGCAAGGAAAUAUGCCUUCUUAGAGAAAAGAGCAUGUGCAGGAACAUGUCUCAUACAAUGAAGGAACAAUAAUAAUCAGGCAUCAGGUUCACAUCUCGGCGUGUGUGAGGCCAAAGUCAAGGCAUUCCAAGGAUUUUUCGAACAAACAACAUACGACGCCUUGCAGUUUUCUAGUGUCUAUCCCAUAUAUAUUUGAUUCUACUCUGUCUCAUAUAUACCUUCUAACAGGUAUGAAAUAGUAUAACUGAUUACUAUCCAGGAAAGAAAGUCACAAAAUACCAAUAAAUUGGUUGCUCUAAGAAAAUACCAAUAAAUUAGCACGAUGUGCUUUUUUGUAUUUUACAUCUUAAGAAAAGCUUUUCCGAAAAGGUACAACUGGUACACCCUAUGUUCCUAAAUAUAUGCCUUCUUAGAGAUUCCACUAUGGACUACAUACGAAGUAAAAUGAGUGAAUCUACACUCUAAAAUAUGUCUAUAUACAUCCGUAUGUAGUUUGUAGUGGAAUCUCUAAAAAGACUUAUACUCCCUCCGUCCCAAAAUUCUUGUCUUAGAUUAGUCUAGAUACGGAUGUAUCUAAUACUAAAACAUGACUUGAUACAUACGUAUUUAGACAAAUCUAAGACAAAAUUUUUGGGACGGAGGGAGUAUUUAGGAACAGAGGGAGUACUUAUCAUGGCAGUACUUCACUCCAAGUCUGCAAUAGUAUGCUACAAAUAAGCAUAUAUUAAACAUUAGAAAAUCCUUAUAUUGCUCUGUACACUUACUGAUUAUGAUCAACGUCGGCAAUAAAGCUCAUUGUAAAAUGCACUCUUGUUAAAUCUGGAGCUAAGUUCUGUGCAUGCAUGUAAGAGCAUGAUCUUAAGGGCCUGGCUGAUCCAUAACAUACAUAUAGCAUCCGCAGCCAACUCUUGUUGAUAAUACCUAAUAUAUGAACCUAUCUGACAUUGAGUAAGCCCAUUGAAUUAGCCCACUCUGAAAGAAGCUGGCAUUAAAAGCAUGGUGAUUGUAAAACCACCUUGAAGCAUUAAAAGCAUGUUUUUUCACCGACGCUGUUGGGUCUUCCAACCUCAUCCCCAUGCACAACCUGGCGGAUUCGACUCCGGCUAAAGUCUAGAGAAUAAAUUAGAUAAUCAAAUAAAAUCACAUAAUGAGCACAUUAGAACACUCUGAAGCGUUUAUUGUGUCUCUCCCUUCUUCGAAGGGUAACAUCAACAGUUAGCAAAGAAGUACCGAGCCUUGCUCUCUCUCCCAUCUCCAAUCUGAGCAAAAUUCGAAAAAGAAAUGAAAGCUAGAUGCCAAGAGAUGUGUGACAGCAUAAACGUGUUUCCAGGUGAUGCUGAUACAAAGUGUGUACGAAUCUAAAUGACGUAAGGGAUGUGUGAGUACAGGAGCAUUUAUCUAACUGGCCAUUUACGUGAAGUUUGUUGCCAUUGCUUGUUGCUCCUAUCUAAGCACGACCUAAAUCAUCGGGAGCAUCAUUCUUUAUGAAUUAAAUCCCGGGAGAAUUUUAAUAAAGAGCAAACAUGAAUAACAUGAUUUUUGACCAUUAAAAACUAAAAAAUGAAUAAUAGAUUGUAUAUACUGCAAGCAUAUGUGUAGACACCCAUCCAAGACAGAAACAGGAUCCUUCAAGGAGAAGUAAUUGUUGCACUUAAGCACCCAAAGUAAAGCUUUCAAUAUCUUAUAGAACAACUGCUCUCAUGUACAGCUACAGUUUCAUUACCUACCUAUCUCGACAACAAAUUCACAAAUAAAUUUCCCAGCUAUGUUCCUUUCACCAUUAAUAAAUGAUGAAUUGUCUAUAGCACAUGUAAGAACUACUUUAAGGAAUUUGUUCACUUUUAUAAAUUACAAAAAUAACAUUUUAUGAAAGAUGCACUAAGGUCCAGAUUUAUAGGUAAGCACUGGGUAGGUAACUAACAUGAAUUGGAUCUUGUAGGCCCCUGUAUAUAUGUCUCAAAUCUUAACAGCAAUCCAUCUCUUAGACAAAAAUAAAAACAAUGUUAAAUUAAGUGCCUUAAAAAACAGAUGAAUGGAAUUCUGUAUCGACCUGAACAACUGUCAAGGCACAUACCAAAAAUGCAUAUUACAGGAUAGGAAUUUUGUUGCUUCCUUCCAACCCCAAUUGCAAUCAAAUUCUGACAUAAGAAUGAAUUACCGAAAUGAUCAAUUUGCUUACAGGACUUGAAAUCUGCACUUGUUGUUCACCACUGGUGACUUUCAGUUUCCUAUCCCUGCUGACCCAUACAAAAGAAACACAGUUAUUUACAUUGCAAAAUUUAAUAUUUUUUAUAUUGAUAAAUCAUGACAACUUAGUCAGAAAUCUUUGCAUGAGCUUACAAGAGUGUGAAGGUGGACUGUACAGGAAAUAAUGAAGUGGCAGUGCGGACGAAACAUCAAUCCAACCAAAUGCUAUACCUGGUGGUUAUCCUCGAUCUUUUCUUCCAAUACAAUUCUAACAGACUAAAAGAUAAUCAUGCUAAUCAGAAACAAAAGAAGAUGAGAAGACCAUGUAUCAGACAGAAGACCCGGAGGUACAUAUGAUUGAUUUGAUUUUCCAUUUUAUAUGAAGAUCACUACAUACGUCAGCCAAUGCAAUCUGAACCGUGUCAUGUCAGUACAUACAAGUUUCCAAUAUCAGUUUCUAUUCUGAAUCAAAUUCGACUAACACACCAGACUCCAUCUAAAGCUUGUGAAAUUUUUCCUCUGCUGCGUGCGUACCUAAGCUAAUCAUGUAAAAGGAUACAACUUUAUUUCUACUAUAUGUCCAAACAGAACCUACAUCGACAAUCCUUUCUCUAUAACUGAAGAACACCAUCUAUUGUGACCUAGCCCAAUUCAUAUCCUCUACAAAAUCUAAUCCUUGAUAUAUGAAUAUGUCUUACUUUAAUUUUUCUUCCUGUCUGAAGAUCAAUGCACGUGUCAGCCUCUGCAAGCUGAACCGUGUCUUAGCAGUACAUACAAGUCUCUCCAAUGUCAAUUUCUAUAUUGAACCCUGUUUGAUUAACACACCAAACUCCAUCCAAGUCCUUUGCAAAAUCUAACCAGGAAGAUUUGAACCAAGUUUAUAUUUUUUUUUGCAAUUCAGUAGUAGUAAUGAAUACAUUCAGUUUUAUGCUGUGUGAGAAAAAAGAAAGAAUAGAGAAACAAUAAAGCUAUUAUUUGAUCUGAAAAUAUACAACCCCCAUUUCUUCAGUGUUUACCAUGGAGGCAACAUACCUGUGAUUAAAUUUUAUUCUCAUCUAAUCUAUGUCAUGCAUACAAUAAAAUCGUGAGAACUGUCGUACUCAUGAGAUUUUUUUUGCUCCGAACAUAUUUCAUAAUAGUAGAGAAAAGUGUGCAAAUUUGCAUUCAACUUACCCAAGUGAUGGAAGCACUGUAUCUAUAUAUUAAGCCUUUAGGUGAGCAUUCACUUUAGAAUCAAGUUUGUCAAAAACCUAUCAUCCCUUAUUUUUAUCUAGAAAACCUGUAAGCAAAGCAUAUGUAGUUCAACCAACAUUGGAAGAUAUCAGCACAUAAUUCUUUAAUCUAUCGUCAUGUAUACAUGCAGUUUGACAUCGACAAUAUUCAAGUAUCUUACUGAACCUUUAACAAGGAAUUUAAACUUAACGGCAAAUAUUCUUCGUAGUGACAGCCUCAUUUUCAACCUUCAGCAUACUGAAAAGGAUUGAGGUACUUAACGUUGGAACUGAAGAAAGUCAAAGCUAAUACAUAGGAAUUAACAAAAAAAAACUGUACAAAAGCGUAUGCUUACAGGAAUAGUUUCUAAGAAUAGCUCAUUAUGUAAAAGCUAGCAGAACAAUUGAUGCACUUGUAUAUAUUAGUGCAGUCCAUUGCUUAUACUUUAUUCUGUCAAGUCAUUUGUUUUAGGAUCAGAUAAGAAAAAACUUGCUUACUUGGAUCAGCCCUGCAGCUUCCUUGGAGGCAAACAGUCAUCCUCUCAACAACCAACAGUCAUCCUCUCAAAAAACAACAACCAAUAGUCAUACUCUUGAAUCCAGGUAAGCUAGGUGAUUAAGAAACACAACGUACAAAAGGAAAAGGCUAUCAAUUCUUGCUGUCAGUAAACUAAGAAGAAACAACCUGAUAAUAAUGCAUCCAAACGAAUAAUUGUCGAUGUCCAAACGAAUAAUGGAGUGAGCCGGUCGCUUUUCAACUGCAUCUUCUUCACCAUGUGUGAGGUUCUUGCAAUGCCACCCCUGCCAAGGCCUGCUGCCGCUUACUACCUAAUCCCAAAUCUGCAAACCAUAGUCACCAGAGAAGAAGAGGAAAGACACAAGAAUCUCACCCUGGAAACGAACACAUCCCGCUGCAGGCGGAGGAUAUCUUCUACAAGAGACGUUGUGCUUCGCUGGAGCAGGAGAUACUGUCAGCGUCGCAAGGUGCAUCAUCGUCUACCCGCCACGCCGGCGUCUGGCACUCUGGCUGCCCCUCGGUAUCAUACUAUCAUCUGCGCGGCAACCAUUGAUAGGAGGUGCCCGAGUCGACCUUGCGGUAAGGCAUGCCAGUGGCGAUGGGCCGACCUGUAUCCAGAGUCAUGGUGGCGGUGGCCUCCUCACCGGAUCGGGCGGGAGCGGCGUCCAAGACCCACACGGUACCCGCCCCCUCGAUCUACCUCUCCCGGCGCCAUCCAUCUGGACGAGAUGUGGCCGUGGCGGAUCUGGACGCCGCCCCGCUGACUUGCGCGACUCGAUCCGGGGCAUCCCCGCUCGAGGGCGGGGAAGAGGGCGGCGCCGGCGAGGAAGAAAGCGGGUAUGGGUGGGGGAGACGGGAGAGGGCGGCUGUGCGCGGGCGUUCGAGGGGAUCGAGGUGCGUACGACGACGGCGGCGUCUCCUCGAGGAAUGGAGGGGAUCGAUAGGAGAGGUCUUUCUACGGGGUGGUUUUUUUGGGAGGGGGGAGCGUGCGUGGAUGGGAUGGGGGACGAAAAAAACCGGUUGAAAAAAAACAGACGAAAAAAAACCAGUCAAAAGUGGUGGGACUAUUCAACCAACUCGUCCAUUAGAAGUAGAGAUUAUUAGUGUAAGAUAUUGUUGCAAUUAAAUUUAGAAAUGGCAGCUCUUGGUGGCUUGGUGUACCUGUAUUUUCUCUCUGAAAAUUCUCUAAACAAGCAUUGCAAUUUGAUUUUGGCCCUGGUACAUGUAGUAGUAGUAAUGUUUGAGGGUUGCAUGCUUCGGUGCUAAAUUUGCAUCAGCAGUUGACGUUUCUUGAGUGAUUAUAACUUGUGGAAUAUGCUGUCUCAAACUAUGGAACAUGAGAUCUGCGUUUAGGAGCAGCCAAGGUGGUUUCUUUUUGUUGUACACUCCAGUUUGAUUCUUGUGUGCAUCACACUGGUUCAUAGUCUGGAACAUUCAGUCUUGCUUGCUCUAUGUUUGUUCGAUGUCCAGGGCCCAAUUACAGUUAAGUUGUGGACACAACACCUAUUUCACCAACAACAGAGAACACAACAACACAAUUAGGGCUCACAGUAAAGCAAUUGCAGUUUCUUGCUAACAACAACACAAUCACAGAGAACACAACAACACCUAUUACUGAAUUAAUCUUGCACUGUCGUACUAACAACCAACAGUAUUUCUAUCUAGUGAAGACUAAAGUUGCAUCAUCAGCAGCUUCAUAUAGAAGAUAAUGAUUCCUGUUUUUUAGUCUACUGUAAUUGUUUUUUAGCCCACAGCACUUUGUAUUGUUUUGAGGUUUUGUACAUCAGCUUUCUUGCUAAUCCAGCCCACGCGGCUGCUGUACUACUUGUCAAGUGAUGCUGCUGCUGCUGCUAUCUGCGAGUUGUUGCUGCUAGUUGUGAUUUUGUCAAGUGAUGCUGCUGCUACUUGUGAUCUUCUAAAAUAACCCCUUUCUCAUGAAACGUUGAUUAAUUUCCGUUUCGGUUGAGAAAUGGGGCACUCCUAGGUCAAGAAAAUUAGCAAAGGUCAUGCCCAAUUUUCUUGACCUAGAAGGUGCCCGAUUCUCAACCGAAAUAAAAAUUAAUUUGCUUUAGUGGUUGGAUUAGUUUAGUAUUUUAUUCACACACUCAGACACCCUUGCUUGCCAUGUGUGAUAGAGAGAUAGUGAGAGGAGACAAUAAGCUAUCUGCAGCUUAAUUUGCAUUGCAUACUAGCUAGAUAGCUUUUGUUUUUCAGGACCAACCGAACAAUACAUACAUAUACCUGUAGGCACCAGCUUAAUUUCCAAGGCAGGACAAUUACUUGCUUCAUUAUAUUCAUCCAUCCAUCCAUUUUGCAUCAUGUACAGAACCAAAAAUAAUCGGAGUUUCUGUCUGGCUUCAGAAGUCAUAACACAUGCAUUUGGGUAACCCUAAAUGUCAAAAUUGCACAAGUCUAGACCCCUUUAUGCCAUAUACUUUCUAUUUUUCUUCAUCGGAGUUCGACUGCGCAUUAACCCAACGUGUGCAUGACUCGAUGGUCCAGGAAGGAAAUCGUUUCCUUUCAUCAGCUAGAAAAACUGCCAACGUUUCAAAACUGCAACUUGAUGAAGAUUGGAGUAUAUCUUAAUAAGUUUACCCUGUUGGGGCACAUCACAUACACACAUUUGCUCAAGUCCACUCUGGCCCAUGUAGAGCUGAAACCCAGUUUAGUUCCUUAUAUCACUUGUCGCUGAAAACCGUUUGAUUGUUUUCACGGAAAUGAUUUACAAGUUCAGCAAGUGAUGAGCUGUGAGAAUAACAUAUUCAUUAUGGUAGGCGUCUCCUGCCCUAUGCUGAAUGUGGUGCAAUUUUCGACGCAGAUUCAUAAUUUGCAGCUUAGCUUAUCUCUUGGCCCUCCAAUUAAAAUAUAGGGGUUGACCUUCACCACGGCCGAAGCUUCUCUGCAUCUAUAUAUAAUGGACAUUCCCUAGCUUCUGAACAAUCAACACAAAGCAGCAGGCCUGAGUGUCUCCAAUAGUCAUCCUUGUGUUUGUGUAGGUUUUCUUUCCUUGGUCCAUUGAGCCUUCAUUCAUGGUUAUGAAUGAUAUGCAAUGAUCAGCCUGCUAGCGUUUAUCCUCUCCGCGUGUUUGAACACCCUGCGGUGUAGUAAAAAGUAAUUACAGAUACACUCACCCACAUAAGUAUUUAACACAAUGAAAAAAUAGUACAAAUUAAGGAAAGGCAAUACCAUUUCAGACGCUUGUCUUCUAAAAAGAAGAGUGAACUUUCUAGACACACCCCUCAAGAACUAGGUUACCCUGAGAACGUGGACUUGGACCUUAGCAACAACACACUAACAGGUUCUAUCCCAAAACACCUAGGCAAUAUCACAAACAUCUCUCAAUUGUUCCUUGACAAUAACCAACUUUUUGGCGACAUUCCUCGAGAAUUAGGUUAUUUGGUCAACUUAGAGAUCUUGUUCCUUGACAAUAACCAACUUUUUGACAAAACUUUGUUUCUAUUUAGAGAGAAACAUGGCCCACAACGAUGAGGCCGGGGGUUCGGGCGGCAAGGCAUUCUGGGAGCUGUCCCAGGAGAUGGAGGAACAACCUCACUUGUAUGAGGCCGCCGCCUUCCCCACCGAUCUUGAGACCACUAAUGGUGCCGCCGAGGAUGACCACACUGAUGCCACCACUGAUGGUGCCGCCGAGGAUGCCACCACUGAUGAUGGCGGCGCCCGCACAGAUGGCAGCCAACCGAAGAGGCAACGGAAGGACCGGCGCCCGAUCGUGCUCCUCACCCUCAAGGAGGAACUUACUGAAGUGGACUCCAACGGGAAUCCAACGGCGCCCGAACGAAUAGUCAAGGGGUACUCGCUUCAGCUCGGGUGCAUUGUCCGGAGCACCGUCUCGAUCAACACCGAGAACCUGAGGCAUCCUGACCGAGGGAAUUUGCGCCACCUUCUCUUCACGAAGCUGCACGAACGAUACAAGUUCCCCGCUGAAUUUGCAAACACAAGCCUCAAAGGGAAUAAAGUGAACAAUGCUGCCCUCACGAAGAUGAGAAAGGCCCUGUCUACUUGGAAAAGCAAUGUGAAGAAAAUGAUCGAGAAAGGUGAGAGUUAUCAGAAGAUCAAGGAGAAAAAUCCUUCGAUCACCGAAGAUGACUACAACAACUUCAAGAUCAAUUGCAAGCUCCCAAUCAAGUGAGUGGGGGAAACAAAUGCGGGAGCUGAACAUAGGGGAACACACACUCGGUCCCGGCGGUUACAGAGUGGCGGAGCCUAUAUGGGACAAGGAGGAGGCGGACCGUGCCAAGCAAGGCCUACCGCCCCUCUUCGAGAAAUACAGCGGUAACAAGCAGACCAGGAACUUUGUCAGGGCCCGAUACAAGAAGGACCCGAAAACAAAGGAGCUUACCACGGAUCCGAAGACCAGGCAGCUUGAGCUUGUUCUGGUAAGGAAUACACCCCCGCGUAAUUAGCUCCAUAUGGUUGCAUUCUAAUUAAUGAAGCCAAAUUUCUAAAUGGUUCACAUUCCUUCCGCAGGCGACUGAAAGCAGUAGCGCGGGGUCGACUAAGAGCAACCCUUGGGACACCACUCUAAAUAGGGUGUUGAAUGUAAUGAAGAACAAAGAUAAGCUCAGUAAGCCGACGUCAGCUGGUCGUGUGGCCGGCAAAGGCUUGUCGACAAAAUGGGGGUCAUACUAUACCGCUGGUGUGCGGAAGGAGAAAAAGACCAGCUCGGAAAGCCAGGCGUGAGAGGUUCAAGAACUCAAGGCACAGGUGGCGCAGAUUCCGGAGAUUGUCCAAGAGCAGGUGGAACAACGACUCGGAGCGACGAUCACCGCCCUUGUGCCUACCUUGAUCUCGGGGUUGAGUGCGUGGAUUGCGGGCGGCCAGCAGGGGCCGCCCCCGAUUCCUAGCUUCACGGCCAGCAACUCGCAUAAUGCGAUUGCGGGGCCAUUGGUGCCUCCGGCGAAGGCGGCAUUGGUGUCUCCGACGCUGGCACGGGAGCUUAAUGCACCCGGGUGUACGCCGGCCGGCACGUCUUCAGCAAGCGGCCCCUCCCUCAACUGCACGCCCGCCGUUGGCGGUGCGUCGACAUUAGCCGAGCUCGACGCCAUCAUCACGGUAACUAAUUAAGCCUCUCUCGGCCGAGGACUUCAUCUCCUUACCUUUGACUGGGCAUCCCUGACGCCCUACAUGUUUUCGCAGGGCGCCGCCGACGUUCCGUGCACUCUCCUCCACUUCGUGAACAACGAGUUGGUCGAUGUCGCCAAGGGCAAAAUCGUUCAACCGGGCAACCCCUUGUUCCACGGUACCCAGAUGCCACCCAACUUGUUUAGGGUUCAACUGGUUCGGGUGCUGCCAGGCUGCGACGACUUGUUACCUCCGAUUCGACCCGUCGGGGCCGACGAUGAAGACAUGAUGACCCUCAGCGCCUGCCUGAGCUGGCCCCUGCUUUGGCCGAAGAGCCAGAUUCGUUUGGGGGCGGGGGACACCACCCCAAAGACAACACCGCCAGUCGUGCCGGCGCCAAGUCGGCCCCAUGGCAAGACCGCCGUAACGGUGCCGGACAUCCCUAUGCCACUGGAUCCAAACAUGCAUAUGGCACAGGAUCAGAACGACGACGACGACGACGAUGAUACAUUUGGCAACGUCGAUCAGUACUUUGCCGAUCAUGGGUACGAUGGCGACUUCAUGGGGCCUCCUUCUCAAGAACCAAACCCAACAAAAGAUGUGUGCGAUCUAGCUGGUACCGUGGAGAAGCCAAGUUGCAACAGGCGCCGUCUGGCGUUCAGCUCUCAGGAGACGCCUUCAGCUGUCGACUUCACCGAGCCUCAGAUAGGCGAGGUGCGAAAUAUUAUCAGCCCCAACACACUCAAGAAGGCGGUCUGUGAGCAGAACUCGGUCCCAUUACAGGAGAAGAAGAAGGCACGCAAAAGAAAGACUAAGAAGGGUGCGAGCCAGCCGGCACCGAGUACGAUCCGUGCUCAGGACGGGCCACCUUCACCGCAGGAUAUCUCGAGGAGGGUGCAUGUGGCGGGUAGGGCGAUGCUACCGACAAAUAUGCUCAAUGCUGCAACCGGUGCUAUGCGGAGUCUGCAUGACAGUGUUCUUGCUUUGGAGAAGCGGCGUCUCAGAGAGAAGGAUGUGGCAUACCCGGUUUUCGCGGCCAAGGUGCCAGAGGGCAAGGGCUUUGUGGAUAACUCCAUCGGGCGUACGAUCGUCCUGCGUUUUGAUGACAUCCACGCUAUGUUGAACCUUCAUCCGCUGCACUACACCUUCGUUCGGCUAUUUUCGCUGAGUAUGGAGAUGCGGAUCAUUCGCGACAAGACCCCGGACAUCGUGAUAGUCGACCCCUUCUACAUGCGUGCCAAGAUCUUGGGCAGCGCUGGGGACCGGCAAGUCGCGAGUUCUUACCUCGAAGGCGUCAUUCUGGCAAACCAAGAUAAGGAUAACUUCCUCGUGCCUUACUUUCCCGAGUAAGUCCUCCCCUCAAUCGGCCCGUAACAUAUGAAUUCUUACAUUUCGAUCGUUUUUCUUUUAACAUUCCAUGUUUUUUACAGUGACACACGUUGCACGCUCAUCCUCCUAAGCCCCAAAUAUUCCAUGGCCACGUAUUUCGACCUGGACCGUCAGUCGAACGUAGACUACACAAAUGUCAAGAAGGUUCUUGAUGAUGUUCUCCCCGGCUAUGACAAAUCUGGAGGCACCUUCACCAGGCCUAUUCGUAAGUACGGCAAGCACGUGUUCUCCCACAAUACGACGUUCUGCUGUGUCAAGCAGCCGCCUGGCGGUCAGAAGGGUGCCUACUACGCCAUCCAUCACAUGCGGGCGAUCGUACGGGACCAUCAUCAACUUCUGCUACCGAGUAAACUCAAAGAUUGGGCAAAGAGCGUGUCGGCAAUCCAGGACGCGGACCUCCGACAAGAAUUCUUUCGCAUCCAGUCGGAGUUUGCGGAAAUCAUCCAUCAAGAUGUCCUUCGUACCUCGGGGCAGUUCUACCUCAACAAUCAACCGUCCAACAGUGACAUCGACACAAUGCUACAAAUGCAGGCUGACAACGACCGUUAUUUCAUGACUCCCACGAUAGACGGCGGCUUCAUCCACGCUCCGGUCCCUUGAGUCGAGUCGAAAGCAGUGAUGUUGUGUCUAGUUCUGAAACAUCGAUUGGCUCAUGUUAUAAUUAAACUUUAAUGAACUUGUAGUAUGUCUCUUUUGUUUCGAGAGUCGUUCAACUUAGAUGUAAUCGAUGCUAUUAAUGUCUUGCUUUUCUCUUCCGAUCGUUCUGUUGCAUACUUAUAUAUUGCUUAUGUAUUGUCUGUGAAUUGGUACUAACGUUUCGUUUGGCUAGUGCAUAGCGAUGCCGACGUAUGUCGUAUACAAGGGUAAGGUUCCCGGAGUCUACGAUGACUGGGAGGAGUGUCGGAGACAGGUUCACCGAUUCAGCGGUAACAGUUACAAAGGGUACACCACUAGGGCCGAGGCCGAAUCUAGAUACGCCCGCUAUCUAGCUGGAGAGGGGAGGGAGCGUUGGAGGAACCGGAUGAAGACGAGUUUCAUCGUGAUGACCGCAGCUCUCUUCUAUGUGAUGGUAGUUUAGAUGAUCGAUAUCGACUUGUAAUGUGAAGACAAACUCGCUACUCGCGGUCUCGAGACUUGUAAUAUAAUGUUUUAUCUUUGUUCGGUCUUUUCAAUUCGGAGACUAAUAUGAUGAAUUGUAUUCGGAGACUAAUAUGAUGAAUUGUAUUCAAAGACUAAUCUUCUAUUGUAUUCGAUGAAUCUGUUGUUGAUGUGUGCUGUCUAUAUUUUGUCAAAUUAUACAUUUUGUAACCUGUGCAAAAAACAGAAAAUAAAAAACAAAAAAAAACCUAAUAUUCAUACUAAUGGCGCAUCACAUGACAGUGCGCCAUUAGUAUGACAGUGCAUACUAAUGGCGCAUCACUGGGUAGUGCGCCAUUAGUAUGCCGCGGUUACUAAUGGCGCAUCCAGUGGUGGUGCGCCAUUAGUAUGCCAAAGCACCUGGAUAUACAUGGCCCCUGGGAGGCAUACUAAUGGCGCACCCUGGCCUAUACUAAUGGCGCACCCGCGGUUCGCCAUUAGUAAACCAGAUACUAAUGGCGCACCAGGUGGUGCGCCAUUAGUAAAAAUUACUAAUGGCGUGCUAUUAAUGGCGCACCACAGAUGCGCCAUUAAUGGCCAUACUAGGUGCGCCGUUAGUAGGGGUUUUUCUAGUAGUGUUCUCCAGCUACUGGCACGAGCCAGCCCGCUCCUACACCUCCACGAUCAAGGUAAGUUUCUCUAGUUUUUUGCUUAACAAAUGCAUAAAGACCUAGAGUUAGCUUUAUUUCCUCCAAUAUGCUUACCUUAAUGGCCUAGAGUUAGCUUCUUUUCCUCCAAAAUGACUUAAUAAGCUUACUAACCUCCAAAACCAGCCAUUUUGCCUAAGUUAGCUCAAAAACGAUCUAUACUUAGCUUUGUUUCCUCCAAAAUGACCUAAGUGAGUUAUAGUAUGCUUAGUUAGCUUACUUAUGUAAAAAACGACAUAGCUUAGUUAGCUCAUAAACGAUCCAUUUUACCUACGUUAGCUCUAAAAUGAUGCAUUUUACCUAAGUUAGCUCAUAAACGAUCCAUUUCACCUAAGUUACCUCACAAACGAUGGCGUGCUUCUUCUUCUAGUCUUCUUCUUCUAGUCACCUUUUCCUUACUUUCUUAUUUGCCAUUUUUCAGAUUUCAUUCACUUCUCGGAAGCUAGCUUGCUAUGAUGGAGUGCUUGUUUUUUUAUUUCAUUCUCUUCUAGUAUUCUUCUAGCUUGCUACGAUGGAACUUGCUAUCUUGAUGAACUUUGCAUUGUAAUAUGUAUGUGCAACUUCCUAAUGGUUGCAACUUAUGUGUAUGUGCAACUUCCUAAUGGUUGCAACUUGCUAUGUGUGAAUGGAUGGAACUAUAUAUGUAUGUACGAUGAAACUCAUGUGUUGUUAAAUAGCCCUGUGAAAUAUAUCUAUAUAUGUCAUAUAUAUUUGCUGUGAAAAUUGUUGGAUUAAAAAAACAGAAAAAAGAGCCAAUAUGCAGGCUCUUUGUCGUCCGUCACCGACGGCAAUGGCCUCUUUGCCAAUAGCCGCGGACAGCAAAUGAGGCACGCGGCAGCCAACUAUGCUUCCUGGGAGCUGACCCAUUUAGUCAGUUUGCCUACAGUGGCAGACGGCAAAGGAAGGGCGAAUUUUGCUGUCAGCGGCGGAUGGCAAAGUCCUGCCGUUAGCCACCUAACAGACUAACAGCGAAAUUGUUGCCGUCUGUGUUCUUUGCCAUCCGCUGCUGAUGGCAAAGGCCCCUUUGUCGUCAUCCACCAAAAGCGGAAGGCAACGUAGCUCUUUACCGGACCUUUCUUUGCCGUCCACGUUUGCCGUCCGUGGCGGACGACGAAGACCUUUGCCUUCCGCCAUUCAUGCCUUUGCCGUCCGCCAUGGCAGACGGCAAAGUAGCUGAUUCCUGUAGUGCUAACACGGUGAAGUUCAUCUUUAACUCUAGCCAGAUUAUCACCUAUGCGUCCUAUCUUGAAAGCAUUAUUCUUUAACUCUCUACCAACAUAAGCAUUAAAACUUUCUUGUCUAGCCAUAAAGUCAUCAGAUUCAUCUAAGCAUGGGCUAUGAAAUUUAGUAGAGGGUAUUUCAUCUUUAUCAUAUCUAUAGAGAGAAUUUACCUUUACUACCUGUGUCGGGUUAUCAAGACAAUGUAGUUCUUCAGGUGGUAUAUUAAGACCAUGUAUUUCUUCAAUAGGUGGUAAAUUCUUAACAUCUUCAGCUUUAAUACUUUUUUCUUUCAUUGAUUUCUUUGCCUCUUGCAUAUCUUCAGGACUGAGAAAUAAAACACCUCUCUUCUUUGGAGUAGGUUUAGGAAUAGGCUCAGGAGUUGGCUCAAUUGGUUCAGGAAUUACUUCAGGAACUGGCUCGGGGAGAGUCCAAUUAUUUUCAUUAGACAACAUAUUAUUCAAUAGUAUUUCAUCUUCGUCGACUGUUCUUUCCCUGAAAACACAACCAGCACAACUAUCCAAGGAGUCCUUGGAAGCAUCGGUUAGUCCAUUAUAAAAGAUAUCAAGUAUUUCAUUUUUCUUAAGAGGAUGAUCGGGAAAAGCAUUAAGUAACCGGAGAAGCCUCCCCCAAGCUUGUGGGGGACUCUCUUCUUUGAUUUGCACAAAAUUAUAUAUUUCCCGCAAGGCAGCUUGUUUCUUAUGAGAAGGGAAAUAUUUAGCAGAGAAGUAAUAAAUCAUAUCCUGGGGACUACGCACACAACCAGGAGCAAGAGAAUUAUACCAAGUCUUAGCAUCACCCUUUAAUGAGAACGGAAAUAUCUUAAGAAUGUAUAAAUAGCGAGACUUCUCAUCAUGAGUAAAUAGGGUGGCUAUGUCAUUCAACUUGGUAAGAUGUGCCACAACAGUUUCAGAUUCAAGGCCAUAAAAAGGAUCAGAUUCAACUAAAGUAAUAAUAUCAAGAUCAACAGAGAAUUCAUAAUCCUUAUCAGUAACACAAAUAGGUGAAGUAGCAAAAGCAGGAUCGGGUUUCAUUCUAGUAUUAAGAGACUGCUGCUUCCAUUUAGCUAAUAAUUUCUUAAGAUCAUUUCUAUCAUUGCAAGCAAGAAUUUCCAUAGCAGCUGCUUCAUUCAUAACAUAACCCUUAGGAACAACAGGUAGUACAUAAUCAUUGGGGGAACCUUCAUCAUCACUAUCAUCAAUAAUAGGUUCUUCAGUAAUAUCAUUCCCCCUAACUCUAGCAAGUUGUUCAUCUAGAAAUUCACCUAAUGGCAAAGUAGUAUCACGCACAGAAGUAGUUUCAUCAUGUAUAGCAGAAGUGCCAUCAUCAAUAACAUGUGAUGUAUUAGAAUUCAUAGCAGUAGCAGGUUUAGGUGUCGCAAGCCUACUAAUAAUGGAAGGAGAAUCUAGUGCAGAGCUAGAUGGCAGUUCCUUACCUCCCCUCGUAGUUGAGGGCAAAAUAGUAGUUCGACCGUCUUUCUAGUUCUUCAUAGUGAUCAACAGAUAUAAAUCCCAAGUGACUCAGAGAAUAGAGCUUUGCUCCCCGGCAACGGCGCCAGAAAUUAGUCUUGAUAACCCACAAGUAUAGGGGAUCGCAACAGCUUUCGAGGGUAGAGUAUUGAACCCAAAUUUAUUGAUUCGACACAACGGGAGCCAAAGAAUAUUCUUGAGUAUUAGCAGUUGAGUUGUCAAUUCAACCACACCUGGAUAACUUAGUAUCUGCAGCAAAGUAUUUAGUAGCAAAAGUGGUAUGAUAAUAAUAGUAAUGGUAGCAAAAGUAAAGAUAAAUGUUUUUGGGUUUUUGUAGUAGUUGUAACAGUAGCAACGGAAAAGUAAAUAAGCGAAGAACAAUAUAUGAAAAGCUCGUAGGCAAUGGAUCAGUGAUGGAUAAUUAUGCCGGAUGCGAUUCCUCAUGCAAUAGUUAUAACAUAGAGUGAUAUAGAACUAGAUCCAGUUCAUCAAUGUAAUGUAGGCAUGUAUUCCAUAAAUAGUCAUACAUGCUUAUGGAAAAGAACUUGUAUGACAUCUUUUGUCCUACCCUUCCGUUGCAGUGGGGUCCUUAUGGAAACUAAGGGAUAUUAAGGCCUCCUUUUAAUAGAGAACCGGACCAAAGCAUUAACACAUAGUGAGUACAUGAACUCCUCAAACUACAGUCAUCAUCGAGAAGUGUCCCGAUUAUUGUCAAUUCGGGGUUGUCGGAUCAUAACACAUAAUAGGUGACUAUAGACUUGCAAGUUAGGAUCAAGAACACACAUAUAUUCAUGAAAACAUAAUAGGUUCAGAUCUGAAAUCAUGGCACUCGGGCCCUAGUGACAAGCAUUAAGCAUAGCAAAGUCAUAUCAACAUCAAUCUCAGAACAUAGUGGAUACUAGGGAUCAAACCCUAACCAAACUAACUUAAUUACAUGGUAAAUCUCAUCCAACCCAUCACUGUCCAGCAAGCCUGUGAUGGAAUUACUCACGCACGGCGGUGAGCAUCAUGAAAUUGGUGAUGGAGGAUGGUUGAUGAUGACGACAGCGACGAAUCCCCCUCUCCAGAGCCCCGAACGGACUCGAGAUCAGCCCUCCCGAGAGAGAUUAGGGCUUGGCGGCGGCUCCGUGUCGUAAAACGCGAUCAAACUUUCUCUCUGAUUUUUUUCUCCCCGAGACGGAAUAUAUGGAGUUGGAGUUGAGGUCAAAGGAGGUCCAGGGGGCCCAUGAGAUAGGAGGCCGCGCCCUAGGGGGGGGCCUGUCUCGUUGACAGGCUGUGGGCCCCCUGGCAUUAAUUCUUUCGCCAAAAAUUCUUAUUAAUUCCAAAAAUUGCCUCCAUGGAUUUCCAGGACAUUCCGAGAACUUUUCUUUUCUACACAUAAAACAACAUCAUGGUAGUUCUAAUGAAAACAACGUCAGUCCGGGUUAGUUUCAUUCAAAUCAUGCAAGUUAUAGUCCAAAACAAGGGCAAAAGUGUUUGGAAAAGUAGAUACGUUGGAGAUGUAUCACCCUACUACAGGCCGUAGGAUCCAUGGGCCUCCUACGGGCCGUCGGAUAAAUAGGCCUCCAACGGGCCGUAGAAUCGGUGGGCCUCGGGUCAUCAGAUAAAUGGGUCCACAUGGGCCGUAAACAGACGCAAUUGGUAUCGGGCCAGCACGGUAAUGGGCCGUUAACAGGCCGGAGGACAGCAAAGGUUUAAUUCUAUCACAGGCAUAACAGGUCAUUAAUGGGCCAGAAUAUAAGGCGAGCUAGAAACGGUGCAACGGGUUAAUAGGCCCCAAAUGGGCUGAUUCUAACCAUGGGCUGAAUUUGGCCCAUUAGGGGAACAAGCCAGUAACGGGCCAGAAGUAAUCGAGGGCCGGAAAGGAGCCCAAGAACGUAUGGGCCGUCAGUAGGCCGAAAGCUAACAUGGGUUGUGAGGUAGUCCUCAAUACAAAAAAAAUACACUUCCGUGAUGAUACGUGUUUGUCACAGUAGGUCGCGUUUUCUGUCAUGCAUGUACAUCCAUGACGAUUUUAUGACAAAAUCAAGAUAGUCAUACCUAUGUUGUCGUAGAAGUGUUCCAUGACAUUACCAAAAUUAUCAUCAUGGAAGUAUCCACUUCCAUGAUGAUAAAUCGCGCGUCACAGAAGUGCUUUCGUCAAGGGUGACCGACACGUGGCAUCCACCAUAACGGGAUGUCGUUAACCGCCAUUAACCUAUCGAGUCCGUUCUGUGGAUCUGAUAACCCGCUAACAGCCACGACCAAUGCCGAUUUUCCACGUGUAAAAUUCUCAUUGGCUGACGGAUCCACGCGUUAGCUCCGCGUUGGCAUAGGUGUCACUCAUCCAACGAUCGAGAUGGGCCUAUGAUAUGUUGACACGUGGAUCGACCCAAAAGUGGCCCACAAAGUUUAAAUGGGCCGGCCCAACUGAAGUCCCAUAAGAUUUAGCAGACAAUAAUGGGCCGGCCUAGCUAAAGGCCCACAAAAUUUAGCGGACCAUAAUGGGCCGGCCCAGCUAAAGGCCCACAUGAUUUUGCAGACCAUAAUGGGCCGGGCUAGCUAAAGGCCCACAAGAUUUUGCAGACCACAAUGGGACGGCCCAGCUCAAAGCCCACAAGAUUCUGCAGACCAUAAUGGGCCGGCCCAGCUAAAGGCCCAACAUUCUCUGUCAAAUUGGCCCGUUAACGGCCUGUCCUAAACUUGCCAUCAACAUGGCCCAUGGUCACUUCUAGCCUGUUAACGGUCCGCUAAGUAAUUGGGCCAAAUUACGGCCUGGUGUAUUUCCGGCCUGUUAAAGGUCCGACUUCAUUUGGGCCCAUUUACAGGCCAUCAAAACUUUCGGCCCGUAAACGACUGUGAAGGAUUUGGGUCAUAUUCGGCCAUGUCUGACAUUCGGCCUGUUAGAGGCCCACUAUAGAUUUGGGCCACUUUUGGCCUGUUGUCAUUUUCGGCCUGUUAACGCCGGACAAAAACCAUGGGCCAUAUGUGGCCUAACGUCAUAUCGGGCCCAUUAACGGCCCAUAUAAAAAUGACGAUAAUCUAGCCCGACCGAAGUUUCGUCCUACUAAAGGCAUGUAUUGGAGUGCCAACUACAUAAUAAAAUCACUUUUGGAACAUAUGUCCAUGUAGCAUGCCUACUGUAUUGUCUAUUUACUCACAUUCGUUGACAUCUAAGGAUAAAGAGACAUGGUUUAAAGUAGGAUGAACAUCGUAUGACAUCAUUCAUAUCAUGGGCAAGCAGAUAUAAAACAAACAGGCUAUUUUAUCAUUGCGUGCGCACGUGAAUAUAACAACUAGAUUACAGAUCAAGACCAAAAGAAUAUCCUUCAUCUCUUUUAAACCAUGUAAGGUGAAAUGAUACGUUAAGACAACCGUGUAUAAAAGUGAACAGAGUAACUGACAUUGGCUGCAAACCAAGUAGUUAAAUGAACAAUCACAGUACCAAUCAGUUCAAGGCAGGAGGAGUAAGGACUUACAGCAGCUUGAACUGGUGUGCUCAUGCCCUUCAUCUUGCUUGUGUGGCAAUCCUUGAAGAUUUGCAUUGCAUUCGGUUCAGGUUCUUUUUGGUCCUCACGGGCUUUCCUCUGUAUUUGAAACAAGUCAAUAUAGAUACGAUAUAUGGCACAAAAAGAAGAAGGAAGUAGAAGCUAUUUACAAGAGCCUCGCAGUGUGCAAUAUAGCUACGAGAUCUUGUUGUCUGUUGGAAUUUCACUUUAGAACGGUUGGUUUUGUUCUUCAAGCAGUUAGCCUAGAAGAAGAUACAUUUGUAAGGCACAUACAUAAAUACAAGUUUAAUAUGUGGUCUGAUCAAAUACAUAUAGCCUACCUGAUACUUUGGAUCAGACCAGUGUUUAACAAGGGUUGUCUAGUCUUCAUCUGUAAUAUAUUCCACUGGAGAUGUUUGGGUGAUUUCAUUGUUAGCCUUGCCUUCAAAGUGAGAUUUUCUAAGGUGGUACCGAUACUAUCGCAGAGUAGACUAAAAAACAUGAGUGCAUGCUUGUUUAGUUGCAUCAUCUUUCGGAUCCAACUUGAACCUCAUAUGUUGAAAAAAAGAAUGUGAGUCUUAUUAGGAGGAAUCUAGAAAUAUGGGACAGAGCAAGACAAUAUUACUAAUUGCGAUGAUUAACAUUACUUACGGAUAAAAUGUCAAGGAAGGUGUUAAACUGGGUAUUGUCUUUCUCAUUCCUAUACUGGAUCCACGUUGGAAGGAUACGUGCAUGACACCUAACGACAACGGCUGCCUCUGAUACUAACUUGGCUGACUCUGUAGCAUCACGUGGCCUUUUUAAACCUGCAUCAAAAUGGAUCUCCAUUCUUCCUCCUUUAGAUUUUGUUAAUUUGUCAAGCAUUAUCCCUGAUGUCUGUUUCCGCUUGCGCCGUGGUGCUAGUUCAACAACGAAUAUGGAAAGUGUUAGUGUACAUCAAACUGUGAGAGUACAUAUAAAGGAGCAUGCAACUGCAACUUGACUCGGUUAGGUACCAUCUUGGUGUUAAUGCUCAUGAGGUUCAUCUGAUCUUGCCAAGUCCUGUUGUGUCAGCAGUGCUUCGGAAGUAGUGUUAGGUGUGAAGGCAGCUUGGGAACUGGCCAGUUCCGGAGCAAACGAAUGAGUAACUAGUUGAGAUGCUGGUACAGUUGAAGCGGAUGCUACAGCUGGUGGAGCAGGUGAUACUAUGUUUGUAGAUUUAGCCGGUGGACUUGGACCUUCUACUACACUAUAAGUACCAACAGGAUCUUGACGGUAGAUCCUUUUCUGUUUCACCCGACGAGUAACAGCACUCCCUACUAUAUUAUUUUCCUUGCUCUUUUUUUACUUUGCCAUGUAAAGCUGUACCCACAACACAAAAGAAUAAAAUCACUCUUCAGAACUCAUUGAUGCAUGAUACAGACAAGCAAUACUUUGAUGUAAGACAACCGUAUGAGCAUGGAAUAUGUAAGAAAAACAGGACGGCAUGACAUAUUCACAACUACGAUGUGCAAACUAAGCAGAAGGAUUUUCAAGAAAAUAGAAGUAAUGCAAGCUAGACACCAUAUGAAAGAUGAAAUCAAUAUUACUCUGCCAAGUUAAAAGUGUCUUGUCAUAAGUGGCAAUUGGAAAAAUUAGAAGCAGUACAACAUAGAAAUCAAUGCAAGAUGCAACCACUAUCAAACUGCCAUGUUAAAAGCGUCCAAUCAUGAGUGACUGAUGCGGGAUACACAACAGCAGUACUUUGAUGUAAGAACAUGGUAUGAUAGAUAGAUGCAAUGUAUUCUAGACACAGAAAGCCAUGCCAUAUGCACAUGUAUAACGUAUAAACUCAAGGUGCAAUUUAAUCAAAAUAGAAGAAAUACAGGCUAGACAACAUAUGCAACAUGAAACCAAUUAUCACACUGUCAACUUAGAGCAAGCACCUGCGAUGGUGGAGUACGGGAGAUGAACUCAUCAUGUAGACUUGGGACUUCAACUUCAUUAGCAGUAGUAGUGGCAAAUCUAGAGAGUCUUUGUUUGCGUCGGUGCGGAGGACCACCAGCAUCCCCUAACUUACUCUUUUCCUUCCUAUUUUCCGAUAUUGCCUUAUGAAGUCAAAACCACAAGAAGAUGAAUAAAAUUAGCUCUGCAUAACUGGUUGAUGCACGAUACAGACGAAGACUACUUUGAUGUAAGGCAAGCGCAGGAUAGGAGUAUGGAAUAUAUACAAAAAAAGACAACGUUUCAUAUUCACACGUAUGAUAGGAGGAUGGAAUAUGUAUGAAAAAACAGUAAGCGGAAGGCAUUUCAACAAAAUUAGAAGAAAUGAAAGCUAGGCACCAUAUGAACAUGCAACCAAUAUCACUCUAUCAGGUAAAAAGUGUGUCAUCAUAAGUGCCAUUUCAAGAAAUUAGAAGCAAUACAAGCUAGAAGACAAUUCAAGAUGCAACCUACAUCACAGUCCCAAGUUAAAUGUGUCUUAUGGGUAAGUGAUCGUUGCAGGUAUAAGUUGUAAGCUACGCAGAUGCAAUUCAACAUAAUCAGAAGCAAUACAAACUAGACAUCAUACGGAAAAUGCAACCACAUAUAACAGUCCAAAUAAGAGCAAGCACCUGUGAUGGUGGAGUAGGGGAGAUGUGCUCAUCGUGUACACGUAUGUUCUAGAAACAGUAACACGUGUCAUACUCACAGGCAUUAUGUGUAAAGUAAGCAGAUGAAAUUCAAGUUAUAAGAAAUACAAGCUAGACAUCAUACGCAACAUGCAACCACAUAUAAUAGUGCCAAGUUAGAGCAAGCACCUGUGAUGGUGGAGUAGGGGAGAUGUGCUCAUCAUCUACACAGUUACGUUGACUGUCCAGCCUUGUGUUGUCUUGCGAAUCUUGUUGGGAGGAUGGCGGAGUAGAAUCUGUAGAUACCCCCUGUUUGAGUUGCUCUGAAGGACCACCAUCAUCUACUGCCGGACUAAUUUCCUUCAGCUGUAAUGAUUUUGCACUGUGAAGUCAAACCGAUAAGAAAAAGGAAUAAAAUUCACUCUUCAGAACUCAUUCAUGCAUGAUACUAAUGAACACUACUUGGAUGAAAGGCAAACACAUGAUGCAAGGAUGGAAUAUGUAUGAAAAACAGGAUGGUGUGACAUAUUCACACCUAUGAUGUGGUAAUUAAGUAGAAGGCAUUUCAACAAAUUAGAAGCACUACAAGCUAUACACCAUAUGAAAGAUGGAACCAAUAUCACUCUGCCAAGUUCAAACUAUAUGGCAUUUCAACAAAUUAGAAGCAAUACAUGCUAGAAAUCAUAUGCAAGACACAACCAAUAUCAUAGUGGCGACUUAAAGGUGCCUUAUCAUAAGUGACUGAUGCGGGAUAUGCAAGAAUAGUAGUCUGAUGUAGAAACAGGAACACAUGUCAUAUUCACAGGCAUUAUGCGUAAAGUAAGCAGAUGCAAUUCAACAAAGUUAGAAGCAAUACAAGCUAUACAUCAUAUGCAACAUGCAACCACAUAUAAUAGUGCCAAGUUAGAGCAAGCACCUGUGAUGCUGGAGUAGGGGAGAUGUGCUCAUCAUCUACACAGCUACGUUGACUGUCUAGCCUUGCGUUGUCUUGCGAAUCUUGUUGGGAGGAUGGCGGAGUAGAAUCUGUAGAGAACCUACGUUUUCGUUGCUCGGAAGGACCACCAUCAUCCAAUGCCUUGCCAAUUUCCUUCAGCUUUAUUGAUUUUGCAUUGUGAGGUCAUACCGACAAGAAAAAGGAAUAUCAUUCGCUCUUCAGAACUCAUUCAUGCAUGAUACUGACGAACACUACUCUAAUGAAAGGCAAAGUCAUGAUACGAGGAUGGAAUAUGUAUGAAAAAAUGGUUGGCUUGACAUAUUCACACCUAUGAUGUGGUAACUAAGCAGAAGGCACUUCAACAAAUUAGAAACACUGCAAGACACCAUAUGGAAGGUGCAAUCAAUAACACUCUGCCAAGUUAAAACUGUCUCGUCAUAGGUGGCGUUCAUCAAACUAGAAGCAAUACAUGCUAGAAAUCAUAUUCAAGACGCAAACCAAUAUCACACUGCCAACUUAAAGGUGUCCCAUCAUAAGUGACUGAUGCAGGAUACACAAGAAGAGUAGUUUCAUGUAAGAACAUGGUGUGAUAGACAGAUAUAGUAUGUACCAAAAACAGGAAAGCGCGUCAUAUUCACAUAUAUCAUGUGUAAGCUAAGCAGAUGCAGUUUACACUAAUUAGGAGCAAUACGAGCAAGACACCAUAUGCAACAUGAAACCAGAUAUCACACUGCCAAGUUAGAGCAAGCACCUUGGAUGGUGGAGUAGGGGAGCGGAGACUUGGACCUUGUAAUGCACUAUCAGUACAAGGAGAAUUGGUAGAGAUGCUUCGUUUACAUUGCUGCAGAGGACCACCAUCAUCGCCUUCCUUACUCUUUUCCUUCCUCUUUCUUGAUUUUGCCUUGUCAAGUCAAACCCACAAGAAAAAGGAAUAUAAUUUACUCUUCAGAACUCACUGAUGCAUGAUACUGAUGAACACUACUUUCAUGUAAGGUAGCCACAUGAUAGGAGGGUGGAAUAUGUAUGAAAAACAGGACGGCGUGACAUAUUGACAUGUAUUAUGUAUAAAGUGUAAACUAAGCACAAGGUGCUUGAACUUGUUAGAAUCGAUGCAAGCUAGAAACCAUAUGAAAGAUGAAACCAAUAUCACUCUGGCAAAUUAAAAGGGUGCCCUAACAAAUGUAUUUGACCAAAUUAGAAGCAAUACAUGGCAACAGGCUAGAAAUAAUAUGCAAUAUGCAACGAAUAAAGGUGACACAUCGUAAGUGAUUGAUGUAGGAUAUAGAAGAGAGGUAGUUUCAUGUAAGAACAAGGUUAACACAUAGAUGUAGUGUGUACCAAAAAUAGGAAGGCAUGUCAUAUUCACAGGUAUAGUCUGUAAACCAAGCAGAUGCAAUUUACCCUAAUUAGAAGCAUUACAAGCUAGACACUGUAUGCAACAUGCAACCACAUAUCACACUGCGAAGUUAGAGCAAGCACCUGUGAUGGUGGUGUAGGGGAAGUGCGGUCUUCAGGUACGAAGCUACGUUUAAUAUCUUCAUUUAGGCGUGCUGUUUCUUGAGAAUCAUGUGGAGAGCAUGAAAUUGCAUUCUUUAUAAGAGUAUUGCGUCUGAUAUUAACCCACGCGCGCGACUGUCUCAUCAUAAGCGAUAGAUGCAGGAUACACAAGAACAGUAGUUUGAUGUAAGAACAUGGUGUGAUAGGCAGAUGUAGUAUGUACCAAAAACAGGAAGGCGUGUCAUAUUCACAUGCAUAAUGUGUAAGAUAAGGAGAUGCAAUUUAACAAAUUAGGAGCAUUGAUGGGGGAUACACAAGAAAAGUAGUUUGAUGUAAGAACAUGGUUAAUAGAAAGACGUAGUAUGUACCAAAAAUAGGAAGGCAUGUCAUAUUCACAGGUAUAAUGUGUUAACUAAGCAGAUGCAAUUUACCCUAAUUAGAAGCAUUACAAGGUAGACACCAUAUGCAACAUGCAACCAGAUAUCACACUGCCAAGUAAGAGCAAGCACCUACGAUGGUGGUGUGGGGGAAUUGCGGUGAUCAACUAGAGAGCUACGUUGACUAUCUUCAUUUAGCCUUGUUGUUUCUUGAGAAUCAUGUGGGGAGGAUGACACUACACUCUUUAAACGAGUAGGGCGUCUCACAGUAACCCACUCGGGUGACUGUCUCAUCAUAAAUGAUUGAUGAGGGAUACAAAAGAGCAUUAGUUUGAUGUAUGAACAUGGUUAAUAGACAUAUGUAGUAUGUAACAAAAACAGGAAGACAUGUCAUUAUCAAAGGUAUAAUGUGUAAAGUAAGCAAAUGCAAUUUAACCAAAUUGGAAACAAUACAAGCUAGACACCAUAUGCAAUAUGCAACCACAUUUGACAGCGCGAAGUUAAAGCAAGCACCUGGGAUGGUUGUGUGUGGCAAUUGAGAUCAUCAACUGCUGAGGUACGUUUACUGUCUCCAACUGCUGACACUGCACCCAUUAGAGUGCUGAAAUGCUUAGUGCUUAUCUUCGAAUUACACUGGAGCGACCUCUGUCUUUUCUUUUCUGCAUUCAUCAACACUGUGUCAGAGUCUGAAAUACCCAUGCAUAAAAAAACAAUAGUGUGAGUAUGGGUGAAGUGUGUGCACAAUUAGUACAGUGUAAAGGUAGCAGAUAGCAGGUCGGUGAGAAAUGAAUGACGGGAGACAUAUGAUAGCUCUACAACAUGCAUGGCACACUAAGUUACUACAGGAUUCUACGAAAAUAAUAGUCGACUGAAAGCAAAUAGGUCAGUCCAUUUUUUCUGCACCGUCCGAUGUACAAAGAACGGGCAGAUCGCCUUCAUCUACCUCUAGUCGGCCAGUGUUGACGAUCUUCCUCGAAACGCCAACGACCAUCGGCCCAGUAUUCUUCCCUACCUGAGCCCUCCCCUCGACCUCACCGCACCGCCGUGCUUGACACUGCCCCCCGACCAUCCAUUCAAGCCCCGCCGACCUCUAGAUCGGGCGCAAGCAGCUCCUACACCCCACACCCCUAUGAUAGACACCGAUGCACCGCUUCCUCGAGGAAUAGGCGGACUAGGUGCUCCACACACCUAAGCGGGUGCUGCUUCUUUUAAUUACGGUUCGACUGACCCUGAAUUGAAAUCCAGGCGGGCUACUGACCUCUAGCAAAGGUGAAAUAGUAAAAGGGAGGAAACCUUGUGCAUUUAGUAUCACGAAGAAGAUGCAGUAAGAAGCGCUCAACUAGUUUCUUUCGUGGGAUGAAUACGGUGUGAGCGGAGACGUAAGAUUUGCACGAAUAAGGGAAGAGGAGUACCUCUUUCUGCUGGCAGUGUUGUGUGCUCCUUUUGUUUUUCCAACGAUCUUCUUGUUGUUCACCGGAAACCAGAAGUUGUGGAGGACAGUGCAGCCUUGAACGAACCCAUGGCCAAGUUGUUGAGUGUGGUGCGGUGGCCGUCUGUCGGUGGCGGGGAAGCAGAUCCGAGGUGACGAACGACGGCGUAGCGGGAACAGCUCCGGUGCGGUGGACGGUUCCGACAGUGAAGCCGUAGCAGUGAGGCGCAGGACGGCGUGGUCGGAGUGGUUCUGGUACGGCGCAUGUCGGCGUCGGUGUCGUGGAGGCAGCUCUGCCUCGGCUUCAGCUGCUAAGUCCUUGAGGGUGUUGCGGUUGCAGUUGCGUUGGAUGACGAUGUCGGGGUACCGGCUCCGGCGUGCUGGAGGAGGGCAGCGGCGGAUUAGCCGCUAUGGGGUGGAGGACGGAGGAGGCUGGGGUUUCGCCCCUGGUGGAAAGGGCGUUUUGGUGCCCAUGGAAUAUGAAUGGGGAAACGGAGGGAGGCGGGGAACUAAGGGGGAACAAUGUUUCGGUUUGAGACGCGCUUGUUUGAAAUUUGGGGAAAGUUACAAACUUUGCCCCACCUAAAAUUUUGGACAUAUUGCGGGUUGGGGGUAGGACAGUCAUGUCAGGUGUCCCAAAUGUGGGCGGGAUAGAUUUCGGCCGAGCGCAUGGGUGUUUAGGCACCCACGACGUAUGAAUGCUUCUCGGAGGCGAUUGAGACCACGUCUUGGUGAAGUUACAAACCUACCCCGGUUUAGACCUUUGGACAUCAGGCUGAUAGGCUACACGGGCCAGAGCCAGGACAGUAAUUUCCUACCACCAAACAUUAGUCUCGCGCGGUUUUGGGUGACCAGAGGCCUAUUUGGCGCUUCGUUCAAUAUUUGGGAGCAGAAGCAUUAACGUUUUUUGGUUCUCUUGAAUUUAACUUUCAGGAUUUGUCAAACUUCACAAAUCUUUACUCUUGAAAAUCCUAAAGCUAUGAUUAUUUUGGAAUGGAGGGGGUACAUUUGAAUAUACAUUGUACACGAGUAUAUAUUAAAAAUUAUGCAACUUACCUCAGUUAAUGCAUGGUUCCAGAUAUAAUCUCCUUGGUUGUAUAAAAAAGUUAGAUAUGCGUAUGAAUAUAUAUAGCAUGUUCAAACUCACAACAAAGAUUGAUGCCCCCUUUGACAUCUGAUUUACAAAUGCCAUUAUCUCGGGUUCAAAUAGAUGAAUGCACUUCCUAUGAAUUCGAAUCUUCGAAACCCCCUUUAUGUUGAAUUAGACAUGUAUUCUAUUUCGUAGCUAGCAAUUUGGAAUGUAUCCAUGCAAGUGACAAAUGUAUAAAGUGCUUCACACUAACAACAUGGAGUGCACUAAUUAAUGUUUAUAUAUGAAUUGCAAAAGCAUCCAUUGCCUGUAUUUCAAUCCGCUCUCAUUCUAUGGAUCGAUAAUAUGAAAUAAACACAUGCACAUGCUAGAAUUCAAUAGAGUAUGGGUGUCUGAUAGACCGAUUUUCGUCCAUACGCAAUUUGCAAAAUUCAUGAUCUCAUCCAAAAAUAAUAAUGCCAUUUAUAUUUUAAUUUAAUGUGUAGAACCGCCUUUUACACGUAGAUGCACUAUACCCCGCCCCGUUCUCACAAACACGUUAUAUAUCUCUCUAUCUAACGCAUAAGUGCACACACUUUAUAUGGAUCGGCAUUUCUCUUUCACACAUGCUCACAAUCUCUCUCAGGGUGUCGGGGUGUCUCACGCACAUUCUCUCUCUGUUUCUCUCUCUCUCUUUCUGACUACUAUGUACCACUCUUUUCACUAAUCUCAGUUGGAAAACACUAUUUCUCUCACAUGCAUAUAUACACACGCAUGGUCUCUACUAGCCCUCUAUACGCACAUAUAUGUGCCUACGUGUCUCCCGCACGCACAUUAUCUUUAGGCCUCUCUCGCACACAUUGCCCCCCCAACACACCUCUCUCUUAGUAGUUGGCAGAUAUGAUUUCAUCAUAUCAUUCGGUAGGAUAUCCCUGGCUGUUAGGCUGGAUGGUAAUACGAGGCAAAGUGUUACCCUAGUUAGGAUCAAACUCUUGCAGUUGAAGACAGAGCCUACUCCUGGUACUAUAUAUUAGUGAUAGCGUGUGUACAAAGUACACGUGAAUACCAGGCAUUGUGCGUGUGUGUAUACUAUCGACGAACUAGCCCCCAAGCUUGUAUAACAUACUAGGGGCCUAGGGUUACAAAUCAUAUAUAGUCGUCUUAUCACCAGUGGGGAUAGAGUCCUCUGCGACUCUGGUAGCUUCGUGUUGUAUGCCGAGUCCUCCACAUGGGUCUUCGUAUAACACGUCUUGGUCCAACCUAUAUGUGGCACAGGAUGGAACCGACCCAUGAGUCUUCAUGUUGACCCACCACAACUAGAAAUGAUGUGCCCACCACACCACACACGCAAUCGGCCACUAAGAAAAUAAGAAUAUACAAUAGUGCAACGGUAUCUAGCUCAUGAUACGUCUCGGUGCUCGCAUUUAUCUAGUGUUACUUUCAGUAUUUUCCUGCAAUGUACGUUCAGUGGGAGGAGACGUUCCACUCGACUACGAGGCACCUAUGGUGACUUCGUAAAAUCUCAAGAUCAUAUAUGCUGGCCCACUCUCUCGAAGGUGCUCAUAGGGGUAGGGUUCGCGUGUGUGCGCUUAUAGCGGUGAGUGCUUGCGCGUAUAUACGAGCCCUUGCAUCUGUACCAUGUUAAACAAAUACAUGUCAUGGUUAUACGGUCACUGGCUCACCCUUACAACUCUGUAUUUUGUUGAGGACACAAUCAAUUGACCAGUCAAACAUUCCACGUGGCGCAACUAGUGUUGCACCAUCGGGGCGCGUAACCGUGGGGCCCACCUGUCAGCCCGUAUAUGAAAGAAAGAAAUGGUAGUUUGAGUCUGUACUGUGUAAAUAAAAUAGGAGUACAUUUUAGGGUGAUCAUACGGUCACUGGCUCACCAUAUAACUCCGUAAUUUGUUGAUAGCACAAUCAAUUGACCAGUCAAACGGGCCACAUUCAACAGAGCACAUUACCAUAGGGCCCACCCAUCAGCGCGUAUAUGAAGGACAAAAAUGGUAAUAAAUUAGUGGUUGGUGGGUAUUCGAAGUCGUGAGACCUCUGGUUGACAGUCGCUGGUGGUUGGGGGGCGUUGAUUGGGCGGUGGGGAGGGGUGCUAUGUCUUGAUCUUGCGUUAGAUUUCCUUGAAGAGGAAAGGGUGAUGUAGCAAUAGUAGCGUAAGUAUUUCCCUCAGUUUUUGAGAACCAAGGUAUCAAUCCAGUAGGAGGCUCCUCAAAAGUCCCACGCACCUACACAAACAAACAAAGAACUCGCAACCAAUGCAAUAAAGGGGUUGUCAAUCCCUUCAUGGCCACUUGCGAAAGUGAGAUCUAAUAGAGAUAGUAUGAUAAGAUAAAUACAUUUUUGGUAUUUUAUAAUAUAGAUGCAAAAAGUAAAGAUGCAAAUAAAAGUAGAUUGAAAGCAAAUAUGAUAAGAGAUAGACCCAGGGGCCAUAGGUUUCACUAGUGGCUUCUCUCAAGAUAGCAUAAGUAUUACGGUGGGUGAACAAAUUACUAUCGAGCAAUUGAUAGAAUAGCAAAUAAUUAUGAGAUUAUCUAGGCAUGAUCAUGUAUAUAGGCAUCACGUCCGCAACAAGUAGACCGACUCCUGCCUGCAUCUACUACUAUUACUCCACACAUCGACUGACUCCUGCUUGCAUCUAGAGUAUUAAGUUCAUAAGAACAGGGUAACGCCUUAAGCAAGAUGACAUGAUGUAGAGGGAUAAACUCAUGCAAUAUGAUAUAAACCCCAUCUUUUUAUCCUCGAUGUCAACAAUACAAUACGUGCCUUGCAACCCCUGCUGUCACUGGGUAAGGACACCGCAAGAUUGAACCCAAAGCUAAGCACUUCUCCCAUGGCAAGAAAGAUCAAUCUAGUAGGCCAAACCAAACUGAUAAUUCGAAGAGACUUGCAAAGAUAACUCAAUCAUAAAUAAAAGAAUUCAGAGGAGAUUCAAAUAUUUCUCAUAGAUAAACUUGAUCAUAAACCCACAAUUAAUCGGAUCUCGACAAACACACCGCAAAAAGAGUUUACGUCGAAUAGAUCUCCACAAGAGAGGGGGAGAACAUUGUAUUGAGAUCCAAAAAGAGAGAAGAAGCCAUAUAGCUAAUUACUAUGGAACCGUAGGUUUGGGGUAAACUACUCACAACUCAU